GAUGAACGCUGGCGGCGUGCCUAACACAUGCAAGUCGAACGGACGAGAAGAGCUUGCUCUUCGAGUUAGUGGCGGACGGGUGAGUAACGCGUGAGCAAUCUGCCUUUCAGAGGGGGAUAACAUUGGGAAACCGGUGCUAAUACCGCAUGAUGUGCGAGGGUCGCAUGACUCUUGUACCAAAGGAGCAAUCCGCUGAAAGAUGAGCUCGCGUCUGAUUAGCUAGUUGGUGAGGUAACGGCCCACCAAGGCGACGAUCAGUAGCCGGACUGAGAGGUUGAACGGCCACAUUGGAACUGAGAUACGGUCCAGACUCCUACGGGAGGCAGCAGUGGGGAAUAUUGGGCAAUGGGCGCAAGCCUGACCCAGCAACGCCGUGUGAAGGAAGAAGGUCUUCGGAUUGUAAACUUUUGUCUUAUGGGACGAUAGUGACGGUACCAUAGGAGGAAGUCACGACUAACUACGUG
rnacentral:rRNA from 1 species